rnacentral:lncRNA from 1 species
UCACACAUAAAUCCAAAUUUUUUCUUAUAUUUAACUAGAUAUUCUUCAAAAAAAAAAAAAAAAAAAACAAUAUUGCAAAAUCUUUUCAAUGGAGCUCAAACAUAUACCCCAACAGAUCAGACGCGGUUGCAAAAGUUCAGGUCUCCGCCGCAUGAAAAACACAUUAAAUGAAGCUAUAAAAGCUUUCGUGUACCAACCUCAAAUCUUAUUAUAAAUAAACAUAUCAAAUGUUGAGGGAUGAAAGAGAAGCCAUUCAUUUCCCCUAAGAAUUGGCAUCACAAAUCAUUAACGAAUAAACUGUUGUCGUACUAUUCUUUGUUCAUAGUUCGGCUGGCUUUUGUAACUGCUAGUCGGCUUCUAUUAGCUCCGCUGCAGAAAGUCUUGAUGACUUGAAGUUCCCACUAAUUCUCUUUGCAUUUCAAUGCCAUAAAACAUCAUAAACCAACAAUAUAAAAUUACAAUAACACUUUCUGGGCAAAUAUUUGUUCCAUUUUUCAUUAAAGUUCUUCGAAAGGAGAAUACAACCAACAGAGACCAAAUUUUUACAGUUGCUCCCUCAACGAUCCCCACAGAUUCCCAAACUCCCCUUUUUUCUUCUUAUUAAACAGACUUCUUAAAAAUAGAUGGUAUAUCUGUUUUAAUGCUAAACCUAUUGUGAAAACGCCUAUAUACUUAUAUUCUUUUUCCCCUAAUUUUUUCGGUCUUCCAUACAUAAGUUACCGUGAAGUGUUCUGCCACCAACAAUUCUCCAUCAUUACCCUCUCGACUGCACUUCGUGCCACUGUCGAUGAGGAGGAUAUCCACUCGGUAGUGUUGAGUUCCCACUUCGAAUGAACCAACACUUCCUUUUCUGACACCCUUUUACAAACAGGAGGUUUUCAACUAAACCCUCCCCAGUCCCGGCAAUUUUUAAGUCCGGAAACAACCUCUAAGCUAUUGAUACAACAGCAUUACUUACUGCUGAGAUGCACGAGUCUCUGUCUGCAAAUUUAGACGCUGCAAACACCUCAGUCGGCUGAUAAUCUGCUUAAAAGAAGGGCGUGCCUGUGGAUUACUGCAGUAGAACACUGGAAGUCAUUAACCUUCAUCAAGAGAUAAUAAUACUUGUAGGUUUUGUACAUACUCUGACAAAAGAAAUAGAAGCUAGCAUUUUGUAAAUUAUACUGUGCAAGUCCUAUCUAAGCCUCCGUUUUGAUAAUUUAUAAAUGAUUUAUAAAUAGUCAAACUUCAUUUUUAACUAGGGCUGGGCAAAUCUCC